CAACUUUCAACAAUGGAUCUCUUGGUUCUGGCAUCGAUGAAGAACGCAGCGAAAUGCGAUAAGUAGUGUGAAUUGCAGAAUUUAGCGAAUCAUCGAAUCUUUGAACGCACAUUGCGCCUCUUGGUAUUCC
rnacentral:rRNA from 1 species